rnacentral:rRNA from 1 species
GGGUUGUGAGGUUAAGCGACUAAGCGUACACGGUGGAUGCCCUGGCAGUCAGAGGCGAUGAAGGACGUGCUAAUCUGCGAAAAGCGUCGGUAAGGUGAUAUGAACCGUUAUAGCCGGCGAUGUCCGAAUGGGGAAACCCAGUGUGAUUCGUCACACUAUCGUUAACUGAAUACAUAGGUUAACGAGGCGAACCGGGGGAACUGAAACAUCUAAGUACCCCGAGGAAAAGAAAUCAACCGAGAUUCCCCCAGUAGCGGCGAGCGAACGGGGAGCAGCCCAGAGUCUGAAUCAGCUUGUGUGUUAGUGGAACGGUCUGGAAAGUCCGACGGUACAGGGUGAUAGUCCCGUACACCAAAAUGCACAGGUUGUGAACUCGAAGAGUAGGGCGGGACACGUGGUAUCCUGUCUGAAUAUGGGGGGACCAUCCUCCAAGGCUAAAUACUCCUGACUGACCGAUAGUGAACCAGUACCGUGAGGGAAAGGCGAAAAGAACCCCGGCGAGGGGAGUGAAAAAGAACCUGAAACCGUGUACGUACAAGCAGUGGGAGCACCUUCGGGUGUGACUGCGUACCUUUUGUAUAAUGGGUCAGCGACUUAUAUUCUGUAGCAAGGUUAACCGUAUAGGGGAGCCGCAGGGAAACCGAGUCUUAACUGGGCGUUAAGUUGCAGGGUAUAGACCCGAAACCCGGUGAUCUAGCCAUGGGCAGGUUGAAGGUUGGGUAACACUAACUGGAGGACCGAACCGACUAAUGUUGAAAAAUUAGCGGAUGACUUGUGGCUGGGGGUGAAAGGCCAAUCAAACCGGGAGAUAGCUGGUUCUCCCCGAAAGCUAUUUAGGUAGCGCCUCGUGAACUCAUCUUCGGGGGUAGAGCACUGUUUCGGCUAGGGGGUCAUCCCGACUUACCAACCCGAUGCAAACUACGAAUACCGAAGAAUGUUAUCACGGGAGACACACGGCGGGUGCUAACGUCCGUCGUGAAGAGGGAAACAACCCAGACCGCCAGCUAAGGUCCCAAAGUCAUGGUUAAGUGGGAAACGAUGUGGGAAGGCACAGACAGCCAGGAUGUUGGCUUAGAAGCAGCCAUCAUUUAAAGAAAGCGUAAUAGCUCACUGGUCGAGUCGGCCUGCGCGGAAGAUGUAACGGGGCUAAACCAUGCACCGAAGCUGCGGCAGCGACACUAUGUGUUGUUGGGUAGGGGAGCGUUCUGUAAGCCUGCGAAGGUGGCCUGUGAGGGUUGCUGGAGGUAUCAGAAGUGCGAAUGCUGACAUAAGUAACGAUAAAGCGGGUGAAAAGCCCGCUCGCCGGAAGACCAAGGGUUCCUGUCCAACGUUAAUCGGGGCAGGGUGAGUCGACCCCUAAGGCGAGGCCGAAAGGCGUAGUCGAUGGGAAACAGGUUAAUAUUCCUGUACUUGGUGUUACUGCGAAGGGGGGACGGAGAAGGCUAUGUUAGCCGGGCGACGGUUGUCCCGGUUUAAGCAUGUAGGCUGGUUGUCCAGGCAAAUCCGGAUAAUCAAGGCUGAGGUGUGAUGACGAGGCACUACGGUGCUGAAGUAACAAAUGCCCUGCUUCCAGGAAAAGCCUCUAAGCAUCAGGUAACAUCAAAUCGUACCCCAAACCGACACAGGUGGUCAGGUAGAGAAUACCAAGGCGCUUGAGAGAACUCGGGUGAAGGAACUAGGCAAAAUGGUGCCGUAACUUCGGGAGAAGGCACGCUGGUGUGUAGGUGAAGCCCCUGCGGGUGGAGCUGAGACCAGUCGAAGAUACCAGCUGGCUGCAACUGUUUAUUAAAAACACAGCACUGUGCAAACACGAAAGUGGACGUAUACGGUGUGACGCCUGCCCGGUGCCGGAAGGUUAAUUGAUGGGGUUAUCCGUAAGGAGAAGCUCUUGAUCGAAGCCCCGGUAAACGGCGGCCGUAACUAUAACGGUCCUAAGGUAGCGAAAUUCCUUGUCGGGUAAGUUCCGACCUGCACGAAUGGCGUAAUGAUGGCCAGGCUGUCUCCACCCGAGACUCAGUGAAAUUGAACUCGCUGUGAAGAUGCAGUGUACCCGCGGCAAGACGGAAAGACCCCGUGAACCUUUACUAUAGCUUGACACUGAACAUUGAGCCUUGAUGUGUAGGAUAGGUGGGAGGCUUUGAAGCGUGGACGCCAGUCUGCGUGGAGCCAACCUUGAAAUACCACCCUUUAAUGUUUGAUGUUCUAACGUUGGCCCCUGACCGGGGUUGCGGACAGUGUCUGGUGGGUAGUUUGACUGGGGCGGUCUCCUCCCAAAGCGUAACGGAGGAGCACGAAGGUUAGCUAAUCCUGGUCGGACAUCAGGAGGUUAGUGCAAUGGCAUAAGCUAGCUUGACUGCGAGCGUGACGGCGCGAGCAGGUGCGAAAGCAGGUCAUAGUGAUCCGGUGGUUCUGAAUGGAAGGGCCAUCGCUCAACGGAUAAAAGGUACUCCGGGGAUAACAGGCUGAUACCGCCCAAGAGUUCAUAUCGACGGCGGUGUUUGGCACCUCGAUGUCGGCUCAUCACAUCCUGGGGCUGAAGUAGGUCCCAAGGGUAUGGCUGUUCGCCAUUUAAAGUGGUACGCGAGCUGGGUUUAGAACGUCGUGAGACAGUUCGGUCCCUAUCUGCCGUGGGCGCUGGAGAAUUGAGGGGGGCUGCUCCUAGUACGAGAGGACCGGAGUGGACGCAUCACUGGUGUUCGGGUUGUCAUGCCAAUGGCACUGCCCGGUAGCUAAAUGCGGAAGAGAUAAGUGCUGAAAGCAUCUAAGCACGAAACUUGCCCCGAGAUGAGUUCUCCCUGAGACUUUAAGUCUCCUGAAGGAACGUUAAAGACGAUGACGUUGAUAGGCCGGGUGUGUAAGCGCAGCGAUGCGUUGAGCUAACCGGUACUAAUGAACCGUGAGGCUUAACCUUACAACGCCGAAG